UAUUCGCUUCUGGGCCUGAGCAGCAGGUAGUUUACUCUGGGCACGCUUUUCAUCCAAACAUGAAAAUGCUGCCCCCUAUCCCAUACAGGUUUUAAGGUGAAUAUAAAAAAUCACAGAUAAUAACUAUUUGCAUUUUCACAGAAAAUAACCUGAACGUCACGACUUCUGCCGAAGUCGAUGCCUCUCCUUGUUCGGGCGGUGUUCGGAGGUCGACGUCGCCGGUCUUCUAGCCAUCGCCGAUCCAUUUUCCAUUUGUUUUGUCUCGUUUUCCCACACACAUGGUUCUCAUUUCCCUAAUUGUGUUGUGUAUUUAACCCUAUGUUUCCCCAUGUCUUUGUGUGGCAUUGUUUAUUCUGUUCCAUGUAUCUGCAUGUUAGACUGUUGCGCUGGGUUAUGUCAACCCGUAUUGUAUUUCGUUUUAGUUGUGCCGUGUGCUUUUGGUUCGCCUAAAUAAAAGUCUCUGUUUGCUACCCAAUAUUUGCUCUCCUGCACCUGAAUCCCUGACAGCCAUUUACGCAUACCUGACACUGAAGCUAGUUUUAGUUUCCCUAACACUUAUUUUGAUCUGUCUUCCUAGGGUUACCUCGGUGGAAGCCAACAAUCUUCUACAGUUGGACAGUCAACCACUGAAAGCCCUGACACCCUAUACUUCAGUGAAGCCCAAUAGACAAAGACCAUCGACUGUCCGAGCCCCCCAGGAGGUAUCCCAUCCACCAGAACCUGUGAGUUCAGAUCAGUCUGAUUGUCACUGCUCUGAGUUGGAGUGGGACCAGCUUGAGAUAGGCUAUACCUUCUAAAAGUGUUGAAAGGACCUAGAGGUUCUGCCUAACACCCAGACAUGGAUCCACCUGAUGUCCUCCUUUACCAAUGUUACGGAUACAAGUAUCCUGUGUGUGUUUCUUUUCUCUCCUUCUCCCCUCACAGGUGAAAAUCAUCACUCCCCAA